rnacentral:rRNA from 1 species
AUAGGAUAGCACACGCACGGCCCCCGUGGCAUCUCCUCACUCGCUGCCUGCAGCCUCAUCAAAUCCCCAAUGGCGACGGGUGGCUGAGCAGGGGGGAAAGGCCGAGAGUGUACUCCCCUCCCCAUCCAUGGCUUCCCUCGCCUCCCCUCCCGCCCCCUCCCACUCGCCCACCACCGCCGCUCGCUACCUCCCCGCCCCGGCCGGCCGCGGCAGGCGCCCGGCGCCGCCGGCCGCUUCACCUAUCUUCUCCUCUGCUUCCACCCGAUUCACUCUGUCCCCGCGCGCCCCCUGCGGCGCCGCCCGACCGCGCCGGCGCGACACCGUGCGGGCAUGCUCUCAAGCUGGUGCAGCUGGGCCAGCUCCACUCUCAAAGACGCUAUCAGACCUAAAGGAUUCCUGCUGGAGAUUUUUGAGACCACACACAAUUCGUGGAACUGCUUUGGGAUCCACAGCCUUGGUUGCUAGAGCAUUAUUAGAGAAUCCCCAAUUGAUUGAUUGGCGCUUGGUAUUCAAAGCAUUCUAUGGGCUUGUAGCAUUAAUCUGCGGCAACGGUUACAUUGUUGGGAUUAAUCAGAUCUAUGACAUUGGAAUCGACAAGGUAAACAAACCAUAUUUACCUAUUGCUGCCGGUGAUCUCUCUGUUCAGUCAGCAUGGUUACUGGUCGUAGCAUUCGCAGUGGUGGGCUUCUCAAUUGUCGUUUCAAACUUUGGACCUUUCAUCACCUCUCUUUACUGCCUUGGUCUAUUUCUUGGCACUAUAUAUUCUGUUCCUCCAUUCAGACUGAAGAGAUAUCCAGUUGCUGCUUUUCUUAUCAUUGCAACGGUUCGCGGAUUCCUUCUCAACUUUGGGGUGUACUAUGCUACUAGAGCUGCAUUAGGUCUUACAUUCCAAUGGAGCUCGCCUGUUGCUUUCAUUACAUGCUUUGUGACAGUAUUUGCUCUGGUCAUUGCUAUAACCAAAGAUCUUCCGGAUGUUGAAGGAGACCGCAAAUUCCAAAUAUCAACUUUGGCGACAAAGCUUGGUGUCAGAAAUAUUGCCUUCCUUGGCUCUGGUUUAUUGCUGGCAAAUUAUGUUGCUGCUAUUGUAGUACCUUUUCUUAUUCCUCAGGCUUUCAGGAGCUUUGUAAUGGUGCCUUUUCAUGCUGCUCUUGCAGUUGCUUUAAUUUUUCAGACAUGGGUUCUGGAGCAAGCAAAGUACAGUAAGGAUGCUAUUUCACAGUACUACCGGUUCAUCUGGAACCUCUUCUACGCCGAAUACAUCUUCUUCCCGCUAAUAUAGAGAUAUGGCGUCUGACAUGGGCUACACGAUCGGAGCACGCACCGAAGCAGGGACUUUGUUGGGGCAACAGAAGAGAAACCCUUUGUGGCCUAUAAAGCGUGAGCAAUUUUUGUAUGUACAUACUGUUGACUGGUAGGGGAAUAGAGCGGCGAUGCGACGAGGAUCUUGACGAUGCUAUGGGAGUUCCCAUCGGGUCCUAGCGUUGAGCAGAUAAUGUAUUUACCCAGUAGAAAAAUGACGUGGUUGUCUCUGCCAAACAAAGAGGAAAAUAUAUGAAAGGGAAAAGUAUUGGGCCUUGUUUUGGAGGGUUUGGGUAUAUUUGAAGCAGAGUCGUCUUUUAACAAUGCCUUAGUAGUUGGAGGUUUUUCAGUAAUUUUUCAGUGACACAUGGUUUUCAGGCAGGUUCAAACAGAAUCCGAUUCUUCGUUGACAAGUUUGAGCAAACUGUUUACAAACUGCACUCAGACUGAAAGAAACUGUCGACAAUUCCC